GACGAACGCUGGCGGCGUGCUUAACACAUGCAAGUCGAACGGAAAGGCCCUGCUUUUGUGGGGUGCUCGAGUGGCGAACGGGUGAGUAACACGUGAGUAACCUGCCCUUGACUUUGGGAUAACUUCAGGAAACUGGGGCUAAUACCGGAUAGGAGCUCCUGCUGCAUGGUGGGGGUUGGAAAGUUUCGGCGGUUGGGGAUGGACUCGCGGCUUAUCAGCUUGUUGGUGGGGUAGUGGCUUACCAAGGCUUUGACGGGUAGCCGGCCUGGGAGGUUGACCGGCCACAUUGGGACUGAGGGACGGCCCAGACUCCUACGUGAGGCAGCAGGGGGGAAUAUUGCACAAUGAGCGGAAGCCUGAUGCAGCAACGCCGCGUGCGGGAUGACGGCCUUCUGGUUGUAAACCGCUUUCGCCUGUGACGAAGCGUGAGUGACGGUAAUUAGUAAAGAAGCACCGGCUAACUACGUG
rnacentral:rRNA from 1 species